AGAGUUUGAUCCUGGCUCAGAUUGAACGCUGGCGGCAGGCUUAACACAUGCAAGUCGAGCGGAGAUGAGGUGCUUGCACCUUAUCUUAGCGGCGGACGGGUGAGUAAUGCUUAGGAAUCUGCCUAUUAGUGGGGGACAACAUUCCGAAAGGAAUGCUAAUACCGCAUACGUCCUACGGGAGAAAGCAGGGGAUCUUCGGACCUUGCGCUAAUAGAUGAGCCUAAGUCGGAUUAGCUAGUUGGUGGGGUAAAGGCCUACCAAGGCGACGAUCUGUAGCGGGUCUGAGAGGAUGAUCCGCCACACUGGGACUGAGACACGGCCCAGACUCCUACGGGAGGCAGCAGUGGGGAAUAUUGGACAAUGGGGGGAACCCUGAUCCAGCCAUGCCGCGUGUGUGAAGAAGGCCUUAUGGUUGUAAAGCACUUUAAGCGAGGAGGAGGCUACUGAGACUAAUACUCUUGGAUAGUGGACGUUACUCGCAGAAUAAGCACCGGCUAACUCUGUGCCAGCAGCCGCGGUAAUACAGAGGGUGCGAGCGUUAAUCGGAUUUACUGGGCGUAAAGCGUGCGUAGGCGGCUUUUUAAGUCGGAUGUGAAAUCCCCGAGCUUAACUUGGGAAUUGCAUUCGAUACUGGGAAGCUAGAGUAUGGGAGAGGAUGGUAGAAUUCCAGGUGUAGCGGUGAAAUGCGUAGAGAUCUGGAGGAAUACCGAUGGCGAAGGCAGCCAUCUGGCCUAAUACUGACGCUGAGGUACGAAAGCAUGGGGAGCAAACAGGAUUAGAUACCCUAGUAGUCCAUGCCGUAAACGAUGUCUACUAGCCGUUGGGGCCUUUGAGGCUUUAGUGGCGCAGCUAACGCGAUAAGUAGACCGCCUGGGGAGUACGGUCGCAAGACUAAAACUCAAAUGAAUUGACGG
rnacentral:rRNA from 1 species